rnacentral:rRNA from 1 species
CAGGUGGUGCAUGGUUGUCGUCAGCUCGUGUCGUGAGAUGUUGGGUUAAGUCCCGCAACGAGCGCAACCCUAUUGUUAGUUGCCAUCAUUCAGUUGGGCACUCUAGCGAGACUGCCGGUAAUAAACCGGAGGAAGGUGGGGAUGACGUCAAAUCAUCAUGCCCUUAUGACCUGGGCUACACACGUGCUACAAUGGUUGGUACAACGAGUUGCGGGUCGGUGACGGCGAGCUAAUCUCUUAAAGCCAAUCUCAGUUCGGAUUGUAGGCUGCAACUCGCCUACAUGAAGUCGGAAUCGCUAGUAAUCGCGGAUCAGCACGCCGCGGUCGAAUACGGUUCCCGGCCUU